rnacentral:snoRNA from 1 species
GGACCCCCAUGAUAUCCAGCACUGGGCUCUGAUUGCCCCUGAAGACACAGUGCCAUCCAGGACCUUUGACACCUGGGGAUCCCACUCCAAGGAGGUACCGGGUGGGGGUGU